AGUUCCCUGUAAUGUGUAUUGCAUUAUAUUCUGUCAUACUUUACAGUUAUGCCAUGCCUACAUCUUGAGAUAGUAUCAAAUGUUACUUUACAAAAUUUACAGAGAAUUUUCACCUUUAAAGAUUGCUUUGUUUUCUGAUUUAUUCUUUCACUUUAUAGUAGGGAUAACUUAAUAUUCUUGCAAAACUGGUUUGUAAAGUUCCCACACUACAGAAACAGAAGUUUGUUCAUAAUAGGAGAAAGCUAUGCUGGACACUAUGUUCCUCAACUUGCUGAGCUUAUGCUAGAAUUCAACAAAAAAGAGAAGUUGUUCAAUUUAAAAGGCAUUGCUGAAGACAUGAUGUGAUGAAGAAAAUAUGUUCCAUACAAAUAUCACAUGAGAUGGGUCUUACUACCUUAGUUAUGUAAAUGUAAUAUUUUGAUGUGUUAUGUACUUUUUGAGGAAUUACAUGUAAUUGGAAAAAUUCCACUCUAUUUUGAUUUGUGUUGUUUAGACUAAAAA